AGAUACCAGGAGGGAACAUCUUGGGUUCUUGAGGAGAGAAAGAGAGAGAUAAAACCCAGAAUGGUAAAAAUGCUUGGAGUACUUGUCCAAAUGGUUUGAGAAAUCUGCAAAAGAAUUUCAGAAAGGCACAGGACACAGGGCUUCUUGCAGGAGGCACAGAGGACUGUGUGCUCACAGGAGCUGAGUCCCUUCAACAGCUACUUCCACAGAAGGAUGAGAGAAUGGAGCAGCUGAGAAUCUACACUAUCAACCCAGUGCUUGUCCUUGGUCUGGGGGUGGGGAGAGAUAACAGAAAAAAAUAAAGUACCUCUCCAGCAAAA